AAAUUGAAGAGUUUGAUCAUGGCUCAGAUUGAACGCUGGCGGCAGGCCUAACACAUGCAAGUCGAACGGUAACAGGAAGCAGCUUGCUGCUUCGCUGACGAGUGGCGGACGGGUGAGUAAUGUCUGGGAAACUGCCUGAUGGAGGGGGAUAACUACUGGAAACGGUGGCUAAUACCGCAUAACGUCGCAAGACCAAAGAGGGGGACCUUCGGGCCUCUUGCCAUCAGAUGUGCCCAGAUGGGAUUAGCUAGUUGGUGAGGUAACGGCUCACCAAGGCGACGAUCCCUAGCUGGUCUGAGAGGAUGACCAGCCACACUGGAACUGAGACACGGUCCAGACUCCUACGGGAGGCAGCAGUGGGGAAUAUUGCACAAUGGGCGCAAGCCUGAUGCAGCCAUGCCGCGUGUAUGAAGAAGGCCUUCGGGUUGUAA
rnacentral:rRNA from 1 species